CCCAACACUGUAAGGGCUCGCGUCCUACAACUGAGGACCCGCUUCUCUCGUGGAGAGCAGGCACGUCAGAAAUCAUUACAAGAAAAGGCACCUCAAACAUUCACAGCAUUCAACGAAUAGGACAAGUUCUGGGCCCUCUCAGCUAUGUGAAACUACCUGUCACGAGGAGUAUCUGAGAGCUCCAGCUUGCAAGGCCAGGUAGCUAAAAAGACACUUUGUAAAAGGGGCUGCUCAAACUGUGUCUAAGAUAGCAACUGCGGAAAGAACUGAAGAUCGAACGCUUCAAUGAGAAUAGAGCUGUCCAAGAGUUCUGGCACAGAUUCAGCCUUUUCAGGUCUCUGGUGGGUGGGAUAACAGAAUGUACACAGGGUGCCAACUGCAGCGCCUCAAGGAAUAAAAAGGCUUCUGUUGGGGUCGAAUGA